UCUGCCUGGUAGUGGGGGAUAACGUCCGGAAACGGGCGCUAAUACCGCAUACGUCCUGAGGGAGAAAGUGGGGGAUCUUCGGACCUCACGCUAUCAGAUGAGCCUAGGUCGGAUUAGCUAGUUGGUGGGGUAAAGGCCUACCAAGGCGACGAUCCGUAACUGGUCUGAGAGGAUGAUCAGUCACACUGGAACUGAGACACGGUCCAGACUCCUACGGGAGGCAGCAGUGGGGAAUAUUGGACAAUGGGCGAAAGCCUGAUCCAGCCAUGCCGCGUGUGUGAAGAAGGUCUUCGGAUUGUAAAGCACUUUAAGUUGGGAGGAAGGGCAGUAAGUUAAUACCUUGCUGUUUUGACGUUACCAACAGAAUAAGCACCGGCUAACUUCGUGCCAGCAGCCGCGGUAAUACGAAGGGUGCAAGCGUUAAUCGGAAUUACUGGGCGUAAAGCGCGCGUAGGUGGUUCAGCAAGUUGGAUGUGAAAUCCCCGGGCUCAACCUGGGAACUGCAUCCAAAACUACUGAGCUAGAGUACGGUAGAGGGUGGUGGAAUUUCCUGUGUAGCGGUGAAAUGCGUAGAUAUAGGAAGGAAC
rnacentral:rRNA from 1 species